CAGUCGAACGACUCUGGUAUUGAUUGGUGCUUGCAUCAUGAUUUACAUUUGAGUGAGUGGCGAACUGGUGAGUAACACGUGGGAAACCUGCCCAGAAGCGGGGGAUAACACCUGGAAACAGAUGCUAAUACCGCAUAACAACUUGGACCGCAUGGUCCGAGCUUGAAAGAUGGCUUCGGCUAUCACUUUUGGAUGGUCCCGCGGCGUAUUAGCUAGAUGGUGGGGUAACGGCUCACCAUGGCAAUGAUACGUAGCCGACCUGAGAGGGUAAUCGGCCACAUUGGGACUGAGACACGGCCCAAACUCCUACGGGAGGCAGCAGUAGGGAAUCUUCCACAAUGGACGAAAGUCUGAUGGAGCAACGCCGCGUGAGUGAAGAAGGGUUUCGGCUCGUAAAACUCUGUUGUUAAAGAAGAACAUAUCUGAGAGUAACUGUUCAGGUAUUGACGGUAUUUAACCAGAAAGCCACGGCUAACUACGUGCCAGCAGCCGCGGUAAUACGUAGGUGGCAAGCGUUGUCCGGAUUUAUUGGGCGUAAAGCGAGCGCAGGCGGUUUUUUAAGUCUGAUGUGAAAGCCUUCGGCUCAACCGAAGAAGUGCAUCGGAAACUGGGAAACUUGAGUGCAGAAGAGGACAGUGGAACUCCAUGUGUAGCGGUGAAAUGCGUAGAUAUAUGGAAGAACACCAGUGGCGAAGGCGGCUGUCUGGUCUGUAACUGACGCUGAGGCUCGAAAGUAUGGGUAGCAAACAGGAUUAGAUACCCUGGUAGUCCAUACCGUAAACGAUGAAUGCUAAGUGUUGGAGGGUUUCCGCCCUUCAGUGCUGCAGCUAACGCAUUAAGCAUUCCGCCUGGGGAGUACGGCCGCAAGGCUGAAACUCAAAGGAAUUGACGGGGGCCCGCACAAGCGGUGGAGCAUGUGGUUUAAUUCGAAGCUACGCGAAGAACCUUACCAGGUCUUGACAUACUAUGCAAAUCUAAGAGAUUAGACGUUCCCUUCGGGGACAUGGAUACAGGUGGUGCAUGGUUGUCGUCAGCUCGUGUCGUGAGAUGUUGGGUUAAGUCCCGCAACGAGCGCAACCCUUAUUAUCAGUUGCCAGCAUUAAGUUGGGCACUCUGGUGAGACUGCCGGUGACAAACCGGAGGAAGGUGGGGAUGACGUCAAAUCAUCAUGCCCCUUAUGACCUGGGCUACACACGUGCUACAAUGGAUGGUACAACGAGUUGCGAACUCGCGAGAGUAAGCUAAUCUCUUAAAGCCAUUCUCAGUUCGGAUUGUAGGCUGCAACUCGCCUACAUGAAGUCGGAAUCGCUAGUAAUCGCGGAUCAGCAUGCCGCGGUGAAUACGUUCCCGGGCCUUGUACACACCGCCCGUCACACCAUGAGAGUUUGUAACACCCAAAGUCGGUGG
rnacentral:rRNA from 2 species